rnacentral:tRNA from 1 species
GGGCGGUUAGCUCAGUUGGUUAGAGCGCUGCGUUGACAUCGCAGAGGUCAGUGGUUCAAGUCCGCUACCGCCCACCA